GGAUUUCCCUUAUAAGAGGAAAGUUUGGAGAGAGAUUAAAUUUUAUAAGGAAGAUUCAAGGUAUGAUGCUAUUAUAAGACUGGUUGAGGUUGAAGAAGCAACUUCGAGACCUCCUAGGGAUAGUGAGAGCGACUUAUCAUUUAAUGAAUCAAUUCCACCAAUUCAAGACUCUUGAGAACCUUGACUACAUAGAAGUAUGCGUGUAAGCAUUCCCCAUCCCCCCUUUGACAU
rnacentral:lncRNA from 1 species